ACUCAAAUGAAUAGACGGGGGCCCGCACAAGCGGUGGAUCAUGUGGUUUAAUUCGAAGCAACGCGCAGAACCUUACCUAGGUUUGACAUCCCAUUGAAUGAAGCUAGAGAUAGCAUCAGGCUCGCAAGAGACAGUGGAGACAGGUGCUGCAUGGCUGUCGUCAGCUCGUGUUGUGAAAUGUUGGGUUAAGUCCCGCAACGAGCGCAACCCCUGUGUUUGGUUGCCAUCAUCUAAGGUGGGCACUCCAGACAGACUGCCGUCGUUAAGACGGAGGAAGGUGGGGAUGACGUCAAGUCCUCAUGGCCUUUAUAUCUAGGGCGACACACGUGAUACAAUGGUAGGACACAAAGGGUAUGAGCCAAGUAGUGAUACGGAGCUAAUCUCAAAAAACCUAUCUCAGUUCGGAUUGGAGUCUGCAACUCGACUCCAUGAAGUUGGAAUCGCUAGUAAUCGUGGAUCAGAACGCCACGGUGAAUACGUUCCCGGGCCUUGUACACACCGCCCGU
rnacentral:rRNA from 1 species